rnacentral:rRNA from 1 species
CCGCACGCGCGCUACACUGAUGAAUCCAACGAGUCGCUUGCCUGGGUCGAAAGGCCCGGGUAACCUUCUUAAGGUUCAUCGUGACGGGGAUAGAUUGUUGUAAUUAUCGAUCUUGAACGAGGAAUGCCUAGUAAGCGCGAGUCAUCAGCUCGCGCUGAUUACGU